GGGGCUGAUUCUGGAUUCGACGGGAUUUGCGAAACCCAAGGUGCAUGCCGAGGGGCGGUUGGCCUCGUAAAAAGCCGCAAAAAAUAGUCGCAAACGACGAAAACUACGCUUUAGCAGCUUAAUAACCUGCUUAGAGCCCUCUCUCCCUAGCCUCCGCUCUCAGGACGGGGAUCAAGAGAGGUCAAACCCAAAAGAGAUCGCGUGGAAGCCCUGCCUGGGGUUGAAGCGUUAAAACUUAAUCAGGCUAGUUUGUUAGUGGCGUGUCCGUCCGCAGCUGGCAAGCGAAUGUAAAGACUGACUAAGCAUGUAGUACCGAGGACGUAGGAAUUUCGGACGCGGGUUCAACUCCCGCCAGCUCCACCA
rnacentral:tmRNA from 2 species